rnacentral:rRNA from 1 species
AACGAACGCUGGCGGCAGGCCUAACACAUGCAAGUCGAACGCUCCGCAAGGAGAGUGGCAGACGGGUGAGUAACACGUGGGAAUCUUCCUAUCGGUACGGAAUAGCUCUGGGAAACUUGAGGUAAUACCGCAUACGCCCUUCGGGGGAAAGAUUUAUCGCCGAUCGAUGAGCCCGCGUCUGAUUAGCUAGUUGGUGGGGUAAUGGCCUACCAAGGCGACGAUCAGUAGCUGGUCUGAGAGGAUGACCAGCCACACUGGGACUGAGACACGGCCCAGACUCCUACGGGAGGCAGCAGUGGGGAAUAUUGGACAAUGGGCGCAAGCCUGAUCCAGCCAUGCCGCGUGAGUGACGAAGGUCUUCGGAUUGUAAAGCUCUUUUGCCAGGGACGAUAAUGACGGUACCUGGGGAAUAAGCCCCGGCUAACUUCGUGCCAGCCGCCGCGGUAACAC